AUUACACUACCAAACAUUGUUAGAGACAUGGAAAUAACAAGAAGGAAAUCUUCAUACGUACAACGGUGCAAUUAAGAUACAACGACAAAGGCAUCAAACUCAGCCACGAAGCCCAGAGAGAGAGAGAGAGAGAGAUGAGUAAGAAGAAGAAGGUUCUUGUGGUGGGAGGCAGUGGUUACUUGGGUCAGCAUCUGCUACAAGCAUAUUCCAAUGCCAAUGAAACUCCUUUUACUUUCGAUCUCGCUUGCACUCACCACUCCACUCCUCCACAACCAUUAUUCGAUGCCAUUCCUUCUGCCCUUUCUUUCCAAGUUGAUUUGAAAACCGGCCUUGGAUUUGAAUCCGUUUUCAACACUUUUGGUCAGCCUGAUGUGGUUGUCAAUUGUGCUGCCAUCUCCGUGCCUCGUGCUUGUGAAAUUGAUCCUGCUACUGCACAUGCUGUUAAUGUGCCAUCAUCUCUUGUAAAAUGGUUGCAAAGCUUUCAACAGAGCGGUACUCUACUCAUUCAUCUCUCCACGGAUCAAGUUUAUGAAGGGGAGAAGUCUUUUUACAAGGAAGAAGACAUUGCCAUUCCAGUAAAUGUUUAUGGAAAAACUAAAGUGGCAGCAGAGCAGUUCAUUUCAGAAAAAUGUCCAAACUUUGCAAUUUUGAGAAGCAGUAUCAUCUAUGGGCCACAAACAGUCUCGCCAGUUCCAAAAUCUCUUCCAAUUCAGGUACUUUUUCUAAUUCUUCUAGGAUCCACUUGAAGAGAGGGCAUGUUCUUGUGAAGGAUAUUUCUAUGAGGGGAAUUUGUAAUUACUUGAGGAUGUUGUGUUUAUUCAUACUAUCUGACUGUUGCAGUGGAUUGAUGGUGUCCUUGCUAAAGGAGAAAAAGUGGAGUUCUUUCAUGAUGAGUUCCGUUGUCCAAUUUAUGUUAAGGAUCUUGUAUCUAUCAUACUAGCUUUAACAAGCCAAUGGAUAUCAGAGGGUAAGCAAAUGCAAUUGUUACUUAAUGUUGGUGGACCUGAUAGGGUAUCUCGUGUUCAAAUGGCCGAGGCUGUUGCACAAUUUAGGAGGUAUGACACCUCAUUGAUCAAAUCAGUGUCUGCUUCAUCGGUUGAUCGAGGUGUGAAGUCCCCAGCUGACAUAUCAAUGGAUAUCACUAGAUUGGUUCAAACCCUAAGAAUUUGUCCUGUUUCAUUUAAAGAUGGAGUGAGAUUAACACUUACACCUGAAGCUAAGCAAUGAGGCAGCCAGGAUAUGAAAUAAGCCUUCCUUGUUUGCAUGAGUCUUUUUUUUUUCCUACCAUUGAGACCAAUGUGCCCUCACUAGCUCUUACUACAUUCUGAUUGUUGUAAAAUAAAACUAGACAAAAAAGUCAAGGCAAGCCAAUUUGUUGGACCUUCUUGGAAUUAGAAAAUGACAAUUUAAUCCAGUCACAAAACAAGGUCCAACAAGUUGGUUUUCUUUCUCCAUCUUUGUGACUGUCAUUCUCCUUUACAAUUUUCAUGAUAUACAUUUUAUACAAAGAAGUCAGUGUACUGACGUACUGCAUAGGAAUUGCUUUCCAAUUUCUAUUAC